rnacentral:misc_RNA from 1 species
GAUGAGAACGUAGCGAAAUGCGAUAAGUAAUGUGAAUUGCAGAAUUCAGUGAAUCAUCGAAUCUUUGAACGCACAUUGCGCCCGCCAGUAUUCUGGCGGGCAUGCCUGUCUGAGCGUCAUUUCAACCCUCAUGCCCCUAGGGCGUGGUGUUGGGGAUCGGCCAAAGCCCGCGAGGGACGGCCGGCCCCUAAAUCUAGUGGCGGACCCGUCGUGGCCUCCUCUGCGAAGUAGUGAUAUUCCGCAUCGGAGAGCGAUGAGCCCCUGCCGUUAAACCCCCAACUUUCCAAGGUUGACCUCAGAUCAGGUAGGAAUACCCGCUGAACUUAAGCAUAUCAUAAGCGGAGGA